AAUUGUAACUGAACUUCUGUAUUGGCUUGGCUGCGUUCACUCAUUCAGAUAAGCCUCUUUUCAUCUCUCUGUUUGGUCAGCACAAUCAUCAUUUCCCAUUCAAAUUUGAAAAUGGCGUCGGUUCAAGCAGCCAGUUUAACCACCGCCGUCGGAAACCACCACACCAAGUUUUCCGGCAGCACCACCUCUUUCUUGCCAGGAAUCAACACCAAGAAGGAACUCUUACCAUCAUCAUCAUCAUCAUCAUCAUCGACUCGUUCCACAUUCUCAAUCCCUAGGGCCACCCUAACCUUCGAUGCUUCGACUGAUAAUAGCAUCAAAAUCAAGCAAAGUAAACAUACGAUUGAUCCUGCUUCACCUGAUUUCCUUCCUCUUCCUUCUUUUGAACAGUGUUUUCCUAAGAGCACCAAAGAAUUCAGGGAAGUGGUUCAUGAAGAAUCGGGACAUGUGCUGAAAGUUCCGUUCAGAAGGGUGCACUUGUCUGGAGAUGAACCUGCUUUUGAUAAUUAUGAUACCAGUGGUCCUCAAAACAUCAGUCCCCGUGUUGGACUUCCUAAGCUGCGCAAAGACUGGAUAGACAGGCGGGAGAAAUUAGGAGCACCAAGAUACACUCAGAUGUACUAUGCGAAGCAGGGAAUAAUUACUGAGGAAAUGCUGUACUGUGCUGCUCGUGAGAAGCUUGACCCAGAGUUUGUGAGGUCUGAGGUUGCUCGUGGGCGGGCCAUUAUACCAUCCAACAAGAAGCACCUAGAGUUGGAGCCAAUGAUUGUUGGAAGAAAUUUUCUGGUCAAAGUCAAUGCAAAUAUUGGAAAUUCUGCUGUUGCCAGCUCUAUCGAGGAAGAAGUUUAUAAGGUUCAAUGGGCAACCAUGUGGGGUGCUGACACUGUUAUGGAUCUUUCAACAGGUCGCCACAUUCACGAGACCCGUGAAUGGAUCUUACGUAAUUCUGCUGUGCCUGUAGGGACUGUGCCCAUCUAUCAAGCACUAGAAAAAGUGAAUGGAAUUGCCGAAAAUCUUAGCUGGGAAGUCCUUAAAGAAACAUUGAUUGAACAAGCUGAGCAGGGUGUAGAUUAUUUCACAAUCCAUGCUGGGGUUUUACUGCGGUACAUUCCUUUAACUGCAAAGCGCAUGACCGGUAUUGUUUCACGUGGGGGAUCAAUUCAUGCAAAGUGGUGCCUAGCUUAUCACAAGGAAAAUUUUGCCUAUGAGCAUUGGGAUGACAUUCUUGACAUCUGUAAUCAGUAUGAUGUGGCCCUCUCAAUUGGUGAUGGCCUAAGACCUGGUUCUAUUUAUGAUGCCAAUGACUCUGCUCAAUUUGCAGAGCUCUUGACUCAAGGGGAACUGACACGUAGAGCAUGGGAAAAGGAUGUACAGGUGAUGAAUGAGGGACCUGGUCAUGUUCCCAUGCACAAAAUCCCAGAAAACAUGCAAAAACAGCUAGAGUGGUGCAAUGAAGCACCUUUCUACACUCUUGGACCCCUGACAACUGAUGUUGCUCCCGGAUACGAUCAUAUUACUUCUGCCAUUGGUGCUGCCAACAUUGGGGCUCUUGGCACUGCACUUCUCUGCUAUGUGACCCCAAAGGAGCAUCUUGGGUUGCCAAACAGAGAUGACGUGAAGGCUGGGGUUAUAGCAUAUAAGAUAGCUGCACAUGCUGCUGAUUUAGCUAAAAGUCACCCUCAUGCUCAGGACUGGGACAAUGCACUAAGCAAGGCCAGAUUUGAGUUCAGAUGGAUGGACCAAUUUGCUUUGUCCUUGGACCCCAUGACUGCAAUGUCCUUCCAUGAUGAAACCCUGCCAGCAGAGGGUGCAAAAGUAGCACACUUUUGCUCCAUGUGUGGACCAAAAUUCUGCUCUAUGAAGAUAACAGAGGACGUGCGCAAGUAUGCAGAGGAGCAUGGUUAUGGUAAUGCAGAGGAAGCUGUGCAGCAUGGAAUGGAUGCUAUGAGUGCUGAAUUCCUGGCUGCUAAGAAAACAAUUAGUGGAGAACAGCAUGGCGAAGUUGGUGGAGAAAUCUAUUUACCAGAAAGUUAUGUUAAAUCAUCUGACAGGAGCAUAUGAAUAUAGGCAUUUGGUUUAGAAAAGUUAUGGAUCCCUGAUGCAUGGCUGGGUUGUGAAGACAAAAGAUGUGCAUCGUAACUUUCAAGAUAUAGGGGUGCCUGCAUCUGCUUUAGUACAGACCGGUUGGUCAGAAAAUGAAGCAGGUCAGGCUGAGAAAGUCCCUUUGAACCUGAACAGGAUAAUACCUGCGUAGGGAGUGUGCUUUUUCUUUUCCUUUGUUGGUCUUGCACAGGAGGGCAGCUCCCAAGCCAUGGCUUGCUGAAAUGUACUUAACUCGUCAACAUGCCAGGCUUAUCACGUCAGUGGCUGCAAUUUUUUUGAACCAUGGCUGGCAGCAAUUUUGCUAUUCUUCAACCAAUAUAUUGAAAAGUAAAGAAGCAAAUCAGCCAAUAGCUGAUCAGCCAUUUUUGGCAUUUCGGUCAAUGAAUGGUGAGAUCAGUAAUAUUAACUAAAAUUGUUGAGAAGUGAUCAUCUUGAUCAGUAAGAUGCCAUUUAGAACUAGAACAUCAUCUCCGUGAAACAGGUCAUAAUUUCGUGAAAAAAAAAAAACGGUUCAGCUGUUUUCUUUAUCAGUCGAGUAUUCAAUAGCGUUUGCCUUUUUUUUUUUUUAAAAAAAAAAAAUGUCCCUUAAUGGCUUGAUGUUGCGACUGAAAGUUAGUGCUGUUGUUGCAGCACUGUAUCAGUAAUUUUUUCAUGGUAUUAUGUAUUGUGUCUUAACUCUGUAAGUGAGAGGACUCCAGAAAGAAGCAACAUUUGGGAAUUUAGAGCUACAUAGCAUCUUUGAGAAA